rnacentral:rRNA from 1 species
UACGGAGGGUGCGAGCGUUGUCCGGAAUCACUGGGCGUAAAGGGCGCGUAGGCGGCCGUGUAAGUCACUUGUGAAAUCCCGGGGCUCAACUCCGGGGCUGCAGGUGAGACUGCGUGGCUAGAGCUUGGUAGAGGCGAGUGGAAUUCCCGGUGUAGCGAUGGAAUGCGUAGAUAUCGGGAAGAACACCGGUGGCGAAGGCGGCUCGCUGGGCCAAUGCUGACGCUGAGGCGCGAAAGCGUGGGGAGCAAACAGG